rnacentral:rRNA from 1 species
CCGACGGUGAGGGGCGAAACCCUGGGGCGCAAACCGGAUUAGAUACCCGGGUAGUCCAGGGCGUAAACGCUGCAGGCUUGGUGUUGGGGGCCCUACGUGGGCGCUCAGUGCCGGAGUGAAGAUGUUAAGCCUGCCGCUUGGGGAGUAUGUCCGCAAGGAUGAAACUUAAAGGAAUUGGCGGGAGAGCACAGCAACGGGAGGAGCGUGCGGUUCAAUUGGAUUCAACGCCGUAAAACUCACCGGGAGC